rnacentral:lncRNA from 1 species
GGUCUUCUUCUGGACAUCGAUCCUUUAAAAAAAGGAAAGAAGAACAAGAAGAACAAAAAAAGAGUGUAAAGUGCUGGGGCACCCAAGCCCAGUCAGACCAAGAAACUUAAGUCCGAUCAGAGUCAGACGGAAUGCUUCUACUGCAAGAAGCAGGGGCACUGGAAGAGAAAUUAUCCUCAGUACAUUGCCUCCUUGGAUCCGAACA